rnacentral:rRNA from 1 species
CGUUGAAACUGGCGAACUUGAGUGUAGAUGAGGUAGGCGGAAUUCGUGGUGUAGCGGUGAAAUGCAUAGAUAUCACGAGGAACUCCAAUUGCGAAGGCAGCUUACUAAGGUACAACUGACGCUGAAGCACGAAAGCGUGGGUAUCAAACAGGAUUAGAUACCCUGGUAGUCCACGCAGUAAACGAUGAUAACUGGGCGUAUGCGAUAUACAGUAUGCUCCUAAGCGAAAGCGUUAAGCUAUCCACCUGGGGAGUACGCCGGCAACGGUGAAACUCAAAGGAAUUGACGGGGGCCCGCACAAGCGGAGGAACAUGUGGUUUAAUUCGAUGAUACGCGAGGAACCUUACCCGGGAUUGAAAUGUAGAUGACAGGCGGUGAAAGCUGCUGUCCCUUCGGGGCAUCUAUGUAGGUGCUGCAUGGUUGUCGUCAGCUCGUGCCGUGAGGUGUCGGCUUAAGUGCCAUAACGAGCGCAACCCCUGUCUACGGUUGCCAUCAGGUAAUGCUGGGGACUCCGUAGAGACUGCCGUCGUAAGGCGUGAGGAAGGUGGGGAUGACGUCAAAUCAGCACGGCCCUUACAUCCGGGGCGACACACGUGUUACAAUGGUAUGGACAGAGGGCAGCCACUUGGCGACAAGGAGCAAAUCCCUAAACCGUAUCACAGUUCGGAUUGGAGUCUGCAACUCGACUCCAUGAAGCUGGAUUCGCUAGUAAUCGCGCAUCAGCCAUGGCGCGGUGAAUACGUUCCCGGGCCUUGUACACACCGCCCGUCAAGCCAUGGGAGUCUGGAGUACCUAAAGUCCGUAACCGCAAGGGUCGGCCUAGGGUAAUACAGGUGACUGGGGCUAAGUCGUAACAAGGUAACC